rnacentral:ncRNA from 2 species
AUAUGAAUCAGAGGACGCGAAAACCAUCAGUAGGAUACGAAAGGGGAAUUCGCCGAAGUGCCGUUCAGGUGCUGGGUCUAUGCUGAAUAAGUAUAGGACUGUCGAGAUAAAAUGCCCAUUUUAUCUUUUGAAGCGCUGUUCAUAUU